rnacentral:rRNA from 1 species
UACGGAGGGGGCUAGCGUUGUUCGGAAUCACUGGGCGUAAAGCGCACGUAGGCGGCUUUGCAAGUUAGAGGUGAAAGCCCGGGGCUCAACUCCGGAAUUGCCUUUAAAACUGCAUCGCUAGAAUUGUGGAGAGGUAAGUGGAAUUCCGAGUGUAGAGGUGAAAUUCGUAGAUAUUAGGAAGAACACCAGUGGCGAAGGCGGCCCACUGGAUCGGUACUGACGCUGAGGUGCGAAAGCGUGGGGAGCAAACAGG